UUUUUUUUUUUUUUUUUUUUUUUUUUUUGCUUUUUAGGGCUGCACCCAUGGCAUUCGGAAGUUCCCAGCCUAGGGGUCAAAUUGGAGCUGCAGCCACCAACCUACACCACAGCCAUAGCCACAGCAAUGCACAAUAUGAGCCCUGUCUGCAACCUACAACACAGCUCAUGGCAGCUCCAGAUCCCGGACCCACUGAGUGAGGCCAGGAAUUGAACCCACGUCCUCAUGGAUACUAGUUGCACUUGUUUUCGCUGCGCCACAGUAGGAACUCCAGCUCCUUGCCUUUUUUUACCAGGAGCACCUAAGUGGAAAUGCUGUUGGCUCUAAAUUGCUAACCCAGGAAAGGAGGGAAAUUUUUUUGUCCUAACCUUGAUUUUUGACAUAGCUUCUGUGUGCCUUCUCCUGGCUAUCUAGCCCACGAUGGCUUGCUCAGCAAAUGUUUGAGCAGAUUCUUUGCUUUGGCCUCCUGUGCCUUCGCCCUCCCCACAUCCUCUACCAGCUUCACACUCCUGGAUUCAGACUUAGCGGCCUUUAAAAGGCAUUCAUUCAGUCUGAAGUUAUAGAGGAGUGUCUCCUGGGGUCAGUUUAAACAGGACUGAUCCUUCAAAGAAGGAAAUUUGCUGAGCUGCAUAAUCUUCAGGGAAACCUUGAGAAAGGGGUGGACAUUUGAUUUACUGUCACCAAUAGUAAAGACCAGAAUUUUUUUUUUUUUUUUUUGCUGUGCCCAUGGCAUACAGAAGCUCCUGGGUCAGAGUCAAACCUACAGCACUGUAGCAGCCUGAGCCACAGCAGUGACAGUGCGAGAUCCUUAACCAAGCUGCCAGGGAACUCUAUAAAGGCCAUAUCUUUUUAAAAGGGGGGGGCGCAGGUGGCUGGGGGGCUGGCAGAAACUCAGCAUUGCAUUGGCAAACUCUGCCCUCCCUGUUGCCUUUGCCCUUGGAGUCCUUAAGAAUCUAUUUCUUAGGAGGGGAAAGCUAAGAGUUUGCCUCAGACAGUGGCUUCUGUUUGAGCAGGAAGUGGGGGAGCCAGUGAUCCCAGAGGGGAUGUCUGGCAGAGAAACAGACCCAUCUCUCGGGUGGCCCCAGCAGGGCUGGCCUCGGCUGGUGGCUCUCAGGUAGAAUCCAGGCCUACAUGGCCUGCAGCGAAGGCCCCUUCAUCUGCACCAGAUUUAGCAAAUAAAAACACAGGACACCUGGCUAAAUUUGAAUUUCAGAUAAACAGUUCUUAGUAUAAGUAUAUCCCAAUUUUAUCUGGCUACCCUAUUCAGGUUUGCCUCUGCUGGCAUCUGCCGGUAGAGGCUUCCAGGCUUGGCACAGUCUGCCAGGAGCUCGCUAGCUAAAUUGGAUUACCCUGAUUUGUUGCACUGUUUGUGCCUCUGUGGGCAGUGGAAAUGACAGUGAGAUAUGAAGUCACUUGAGAGAGAGCAGUAACGGGAAUUCAGCUUGAAGAGCCAGGCAGGCUGAGUUAGAUGACUGUGAGCCCCUGUUGACCUCAGCUGCUGGCAUCUACUGGGUAUUUUUCCAUCAGAAAUUUCAAAUGCGUAUUUUAUAAAGAGAGGAAGGAGGCAAAGUACAGCCUUUUCUCACUUGAUCAGUAACUUCGAUUAGGGAUGCAAGGGGCAGAAUUCUUUGGUUGACUGAUUAUUUUUAUUGAGUCUUUGCUUCGCUGACAUUGUCGCUCUGUGUGGUGUUCGUGGGAAGAAGGGACAGGGUGGGAGAGAGUCCUUGUACGUGUUCUGCAUGUUCCUUCCUGUAUAAUAACUUGUGCAUUUACUCUGUUUAGGAUGGUUCCCUCACCACCACCCUUGUCUAUAGGCAGUCAAUUUCUGGAAUGUUCUCCCCAAGUCCCAUGUGUCCCCUUGUUCCAUCCUUCAGUGGAGCAGAAACCUCUCUCAGGCCUCCUUUCCUGGGAAUGUCCUUAGCUGAGGCACAGCCUGGGGCUCCUCAGAAGGCAGCAGAAGGGCCUCUUCCCAGCCUCUGGGGGUGACUGAGCCGGGCCCCUUCUCCACUCCCUGCGAGAAAGGCUAAGGCCUGCUGCGUCCCUGGGUCUGCGAAGCCCCCACAGGUUUCUGUAAGUACAGGACUCCUAUCCCAGCUCCAAAGUCUUGCUCUCCCCUGAUCAGCCUCAGAACUCAGUCCCCUGGCCAGGAUCUCAGUCUGGCUGGAGGUGUGGUGGGACAAGAAAUCCAGCACAUGCUGGAACUAAUUCAGCAUGUGGCAUGCAUUCUGGGGCUGGGAGAUAUUAAGUCUCUGACCGUUGAUUUUGGGCUCUCAGCAUAAAGCAUUUUAAAUGAAGGGGCGAGGACCAGUUAUUGACCUUGGGGUUGGCAAGGGGACGCAGGAUUGGCUCGAUGGUGGGAGACUUGGGCCUGAUCCCAGAGCAGGUGCCUCCUGCUCCCCUGGACAGUAUCUGCCUGUGUGGCUGACCGGGAGGGUUUUCGUGAUCUGGGAAUGGGAUUCUGCCUGGGGAUGUGCACAUGGCUGAAGAGGUGGGGGCGGGGGUUGUCUCUCUCCACCUGGGGGACCUGGCCCCUCAUGAGAAGCCCUGGAGCGAGGGCUCCAGCUGCCUGGUGUCCUCAGUGUUCUCUCCUUGAAGGGGCUUCAUGGAAGAGCUUCAGCCCAUUCCCUCUCCCCCAGGGCCCUCAGCUUGCUCAGGCCCCUGUGGCCUAUGGAAGGCCACUUCCUGAUGAAUCACCUGGGGACCGGGGCCUCAUUCAAGUGCCCCCACACCCCUUAUAGGGCUUCAUGGUCUCUUCUGGGACUGGUGGCACCUCCUGGAGCAGGGGCAAGGGGCCAGGGGCAGGUGGCGAGAUGGCCACUGUGGUAAAGUAUAGCCCACUUAUCCAGGUCUCAGAGCUGGAGGCUUUUCAGUGGAGUCCUCAGUAAAAACCUUUAAAAUGCCUCCCUAGUGGCAAGGAAAGAGGACAAGGUGAGGGCCAUUGGUCACCCCAAACAAGGGGUACUUUGGCUGUUUCCUAGGAAUGGCCAGCCUUCCGUAGAAGCCCUGGCGUGGCAAGGAGCCAGCCAAAGAAAAGUGAAGGUUGGAUGGUGGGCAGUGAGGCAGAGCUGGGGAAAGCUGCAGGCUGGCAGUGCUGUUGCUGGGAAAGACGUUCUCCUUGGGGAGGUCAGCUGGAAAGUCUCUUUCCUCAGUUGGUGUUAAUGCCUCCCUCUGCAACAGUGCCCACCCGGAGGCAUCACCCUCGCCACCCAGCUGCCCCUCUCGCACUCAGAGUGGUUCCCUGGGUGAGCUUCCAUACUGGUCUGCCAGACACAUCAGCUGGCUUCUAUUUUUAAGAAAAUUAAACCAAACCUAAAAGAGCGCUUGGAUUCCUCAAAUGGGGAUGUUUGGGAUGUGGCCCUCUGGUGGCCGGCAGUGAUCGUUAGCCUUAGCACAAAGGGCCCAAGAUGGAGUUCCCAGAGAUUUCUUCGAGAACUAAAUUCUAAAAGGAAAAUGCUCAGCAACAAUGAGGGCAGGGGAAGAGAAGGGGAUGAAUAUUGGGGGACCAGCCCAAGACUGAGGGGUCUCCAAACACAGAGGCCUGAAUGGAACGGGCCCAUCAGGGCCUAUUCAGGGCUGGGCAUUUUCAAGAGACACCGCAAACUUUGGAGCUAGCCUGAAAGUUGGGCUAAAUCCCUCUUUCCCCAUCUGGCGAUCGUGUGACUGAGGGCAAGUUGUGUGCCUGCUCCAAAUCGGGUUGCUCAGGUGUCAGGCAGGCUGCCAGCCCUAUUCCAUCAGACUAAUAGGAAGAUGAAGUUAAUUUACAGAAAGCUCCUACUUAAUGCCUGACACACUCUGCACCCCUAACAAAGGUUAAUUUUGUGUACCAUGCUCCCAGCCUUGUUGAGUCGCAUCUCUAGGGCAUCUGCCCUUCAAAACAGGUUUUUUGACUGGGUACAGGGAGGAAUCACUUACCCCCACCCUAAGGAUGGCAGUUGUUUUUCCCCAAGAGACAAAAUUAGAUUAAAAUUAGUAAGCCAGGAGUUCCUGCCAUGGGCUCAACAGGAUCAGCAGUGUCUCUGCAGCAGCAGGACACAGGUUCCAUUCCAGGCCCAGCACAGUGGGUUAAGGAUCCUGCCUUGCCACAGCUGCAGCAUAGGUCAAAAGUAUGGCUGGAAUCUGAUCCCUGGCCCGGAACUCCACAUGCCUUGGGAUGGCCAAAAAGGAAAAAAAUUAGUAAGUCAAAGACAUGCUACUAGGGAACAGACCUUGGCAUGUCAAGUUCAACCUGUGAUUCUUGCUGAUUCAGUGACCACUAAAUGCAGAAUGAAAUUCAACCAAUGUUUGAGUAUUUACCCUGUGCCAGGCAUUGUUCUACGCUGUGGGGACACAGUGGUGAAAUGAGUCAACAUCCCUUCUCCUGGGGUGAGACCACCAGCAAAGGGCCUCUUCCUAUAAAAGUGGAUCACUUCCCCCACAGGCUGACUCGGGAGCUUUACUCAGCCAUUCAGCACCCACAGGAGGCCCAGGACUAAGAGCUAUGGAGGGAUUUUUGAGGCUGAGGUGCAGCCCCUGCUUUUUUAAGCUCACCUCGUGGUUAGGGGAAGGAGGUAAGCAGGUGUGUGUGCACAGACACCAUGGUAAAAUAGGGGGCCUUAGGAAAUGCUCACAAGAAAGGGCCAGGGAAAGAAGAUCAGAGGCAGGAUUUCCUGUGGCUGGGGGAUGCAGAAGCCCUCUGCAAGUGACCACGAUCCAUACUGCAGACUGGGGGAGGCCGGGGAGGACGUGGUUUGGCUGUGGCCUCCCUGCCAGCCCAGAAUGAUACCUUUGAGCUCCAGCUCCCUGCUUGGCCCCAGCAGUCUCGUGCAGCUGUUAAUGUCUCCUACGACCUUGAAGCAGGGGCAACAGCAGGACUCAGGUGAGUUGAGGGGCCCUGGAGCCAGGUGGAGACCUGUCCAGGUGGAGACCUGUCCGGAGUUGUAGGCCUUGGUUCAGCCCUUCCUGGCUGAGCAGAAGCCUGGGUGGGGGGCAUCCACCUUGUCCAAGGGGUGAAGAAGUGGGGGCUGGGGAGGCACCUGGGGUGUGUGGCCCAUCUGGCAGAGAUAGAUGAGGAGCGGUCUGAUUUGGGGCACACAAUUGUCUGUGAAAAUUAACUGUUGUAAAGCUGUCUGUUGGCCUUAGGCACUGGAUCCACACAAAGGGCUGGUGGCCUGCUUAUGUAUUCAUGAGUCUACCCAGGAGAAAAAAAGCUCAUUAAAAUCCUUUUACAAUGUGGAAGAUUAUUUUUAGGCAACUCUAAAUCAGCAUUACCUUUAUCAAGAAAAACCAGAUUUUGUGCUUGUGCACAGCCUAGCCAACACAUCUUUCUCUAGCUUAUGUCCCAGCUCUGCCAUUCUCAAGCCCGGCUACAUAUUAGAGUCACCCCGGGAGCUCUUAAAACUACUGAUUUCCAAGCCCCUGCCCUCUGAGCUUCUGACUCACCUGGUCUGGGGAGGGGCCUAGGCACUGACUUUUUUUAUUUUUUAUUGAUUUUUUAUUAUUUUAUUUUAUUUUAUUUUAUUUUUUUGACUUUUUUUUAAAAGCUCCCUAUGUGAUUUUCAUGCCCUGGGUCAAGAACAGGGUCAAGACCCUUAUUCUGGCUGGAAGCAGGGAGUAAAGUAGGCUUCUGAGCCUCUCUCAAUGUGGAAUUGCAUCCCCCCACUCCUCAGCACAGACUUUCAGUAAAUCAUAGGGUGUCUGAGAGGCACUGGAAGGUGAAAGUUCUAACUAGGAAAGAUAUGCAGCUUACCUAGGGCCCACUGUGUACCCACCAAGGUCAAAGCCAGUGGUCUAGGAUGGUUUUUGCUGGUGGUGGUUAAUCAGUCAACAUGGCAUCAGUUGAAGAGCAUCAUGGGGGGCAGUGAGAGCAUGGGAAGGGACAUCAGUGUCACAUUUCCCAGGAAAUCACAAGCGAAUGACCAUCUAACAACUCUGGUUGAAUCCCUGGGCCUCAUCAAGGAUGCUCUUUCCUAGUGUCCACCUGCCCCAGCCUCCCCGUGUCCACCUGUGGCAGGCACGAGGUUGCCAGGUUCAUCCCGAGCCUCUCCAGUGUGUGUUCAGUGCUGCUGCUAACUAGGCUCCCUGGGGGUGAGGGAGCUGCUACUGUGCCAUGUGCACCCCUCCAACUUCCUGCCGUGAGGCUCCAUACCCUAUGGGACCUUCACCCAGCCUCAGGGACCCCAUCUGGAGGGAAGACUCCCCUGGGAUCCAGCCCCCUCCCCACUUUAGCACAAAUGCAGCCUGGAUGCCAAGUGCUAUCUUGUUACUGGACCAGGGGUGACACUGGCAGAGAUCCUCUGGGGUAUGUAUUGUGGAGGUCAGCAGCUUAUCUCAAGUACCUGGUAGGGGGCAACCAGAUGAUGGGAAGAGCCUCUUCCACUCUGGGCUUCCAGGAUCCUCUGAACGUUUUGCUCUGUCAAAGCCUGAGCUCUGAUGACUGCAAAUGACCAAAGUCAGCUCUGGGUUUCUGCCUUCUGAACCUGAGCAACUUGUUCCUCCAACUCAUCCUCAUAUCCCAACUUUUUGUUUGAUUGUUAAUAACUUUUAGCACCUGCCCUUACCAGAAAGCACUGAUUUAAAGGAUGAGCUGAUUUCCCCCCCUUUCUUUUCUGGUAGCUAACGAGCUGGGGGUGCGAGGAAUAGAUGUAUGUGCCAAGCAUUAUUAAUGUCCUCUGAAACGCUUCCUUCACAAGUUCCUUCACUUGAUCAGCAAAAAAUUCAUUGAGAAGAUUACCCAUCUGACAGAUGAUGAAACUAAGGUGCCAGAGGUCAUGAGGUAGGUGGUGCCAAGCCAGGUCCAGCUUCCUUUGGCUUCUAUCUUUCCCAUUCCCUCCAUGGUCUAGGGCUGGACCCAAUCUGGGGAAUGGGGUGGGGGAGUGAGCUUUUAAAGCAGGGCUAUGAUUCUAGGUCCCUUGGUCCCAGCUCCAGGAUCAGGUCAGAGGCUCCAGGGCUCCAGAGGCACUAAUAAAGAGUCUUCUGAUUAAAAAUGGGAGUUCCCGUCAUGGCUCAGCAGAAAUGAAUCUGACUAGCGUCCAUGAGGAUGCAGGUUCCAUCCCUGGCCUCACUCAGUGGGUUAAGGAUCCAGUGUUGCCAUGAGCUGUGGUGGAGGUCGCAGACGCAGCUGGGAUCCUGUGUUGCUGUGGCUGUGGUGUAGGCUGGCAGCUGCAGCUCCAAAUCACCCCCUAGCCUGGGAACCUCCAAAUGCCU
rnacentral:lncRNA from 1 species